UCACUUUAGAGAAGCAGACUAGGGCAGUGUUAGGAGCUCCUGAGAAUUUCUAGCUCUGCCACAUAGUAACCAGAUCUUGGACAGAAAAAGAUAUCUCAUGGUGACUGUUGCGACACAUGCCUCUUGUCAACCACUUCCUAAGAGUCUGACUGGGUAGUUAUUGCUGUCUCUCCAAAUUCCCAGAACUCAAAGGUUUAAAACGAUUCUGGAUUUUGGCAAAGAACAACAACAACAACAAAAAACUACCACCAAGCUUCUUUGCCUCCUGUCCUUUCCCAGCUUUUAUAAGGUCAAAGGAAAAUG
ensembl:lncRNA